rnacentral:lncRNA from 1 species
UUUGUAGAAAUGUAAUAUUUAGUGACCUGAGCCACCCAAAAGAUUAUUUUGUCAGAAAGAAGUUGAGGCCAAGAUUAGGGCAAAUGAAGAAACCAUGAAAAAUAAAAGCAACCGGUUGUUUUGAAACAAAUAGAAAAGGUGCAAAUCCAGAAAUCAAAUCUGAAUGCACCCAGAGAUAUGUGCAGGAAUCAGCACUGCAAAGGAAGGAAGAUCCUGGGCGUGAUUCUGAGCCUUGGCGACUAGACUUGGUUAUACAGUUUGCUGAAGUACUCCAUCUCUGCUUGCACCAACCUAGCUUCUCCCACUGAAGGGCCUUCUCAAGGAGUCCCCUUUGUUGUUCUCCAGCAGCCAGGACAUCAAAGCAUGCCCUGCAUCUUUCCAUCCCUCUUUUGUUGCAGAGGAGGGCCAGCUGCCUCCAUACCUUUUUCUUCCUGAGCAGGUAAGUGACUGUCACUGUUAUAUUUGCCAGCCCCCCUGGGAGAUUGGCGAAUGAAGCUGUGCUCCUGAGACCUGAACAUAUAAUUUGCAACACGCAAUUUAUGUCACAUCAUACCUAGCUGGAGCUCUAGUGCCUGGAGUACCCAGAAUACAUCUACAAAUAGAUCAUGUCAUGUCAAAAAUGAAAUGGAAGGUGAUAGUAAUUGUGGACUAUAUAAUUAGAAAGCAAGAGUGUCUAACUAAUGGCAACACCUGGAAUACCUGCACAAAAAACUAAUCAAAAGUCAACUUGAAAUCCAGUGAAAGCCUAUAUAUGGCUGUUUCUGCCCCUUAAAAAAACUGCUCAGAACAUUGCAGAUUACACUCUGAUCACACUUCUGAUGGUGUGAACCACAUGGAAGUAAAGCCUUAAACAAUAAUCUGACUUUUUGAGAUGGUUGCAUCCACAUAAAUGUACAAAGCUGGACAUGGUAGGUUUUUCUAAAUGUAGAAUCUAUCUAUAAAAUCAUGUUGAUUCUAAGUCUAAUAAAGUUUCCUUGAUGUUAUAGAGUAUAAAAGUC